rnacentral:rRNA from 1 species
AGUGAACGCUGGCGGUAGGCCUAACACAUGCAAGUCGAGCGGCAGCACAGUAAGAGCUUGCUCUUACGGGUGGCGAGUGGCGGACGGGUGAGGAAUACAUCGGAAUCUACUUUUUCGUGGGGGAUAACGUAGGGAAACUUACGCUAAUACCGCAUACGACCUACGGGUGAAAGCAUGGGAUCUUCGGACCUUGCGCGAUUGAAUGAGCCGAUGUCGGAUUAGCUAGUUGGCGGGGUAAAGGCCCACCAAGGCGACGAUCCGUAGCUGGUCUGAGAGGAUGAUCAGCCACACUGGAACUGAGACACGGUCCAGACUCCUACGGGAGGCAGCAGUGGGGAAUAUUGGACAAUGGGCGCAAGCCUGAUCCAGCCAUACCGCGUGGGUGAAGAAGGCCUUCGGGUUGUAAAGCCCUUUUGUUGGGAAAGAAAAGCAGCAGGUUAAUACCCCGCUGUUCUGACGGUACCCAAAGAAUAAGCACCGGCUAACUUCGUG